CGUAGGGUGCAAGCGUUAAUCGGAAUUACUGGGCGUAAAGCGUGCGCAGGCGGUUUUGUAAGACAGGCGUGAAAUCCCCGGGCUUAACCUGGGAAUUGCGUUUGUGACUGCAAGGCUGGAGUGCGGCAGAGGGGGAUGGAAUUCCGCGUGUAGCAGUGAAAUGCGUAGAUAUGCGGAGGAACACCGAUGGCGAAGGCAAUCCCCUGGGCCUGCACUGACGCUCAUGCACGAAAGCGUGGGGAGCAAACAGGA
rnacentral:rRNA from 1 species